AUUGAACGCUGGCGGCAUGCCUUACACAUGCAAGUCGAACGGUAACAGGUCCUCGGAUGCUGACGAGUGGCGAACGGGUGAGUAAUACAUCGGAACGUGCCUAGUAGUGGGGGAUAACUACUCGAAAGAGUGGCUAAUACCGCAUGAGAUCUACGGAUGAAAGCAGGGGAUCGCAAGACCUUGUGCUACUAGAGCGGCCGAUGGCCGAUUAGGUAGUUGGUGGGAUAAAAGCUUACCAAGCAGACGAUCUGUAGCUGGUCUGAGAGGACGAUCAGCCGCACUGGGGCUGCGACACGGCCCCGACUCCUACCGGAGGCACAAGUGGGGAUUUGUGAACAAUGGGCGCAAGCCUGAUCCGGCAAUGCCGCGUGCAGGUGGAAGGCCUUCGGGUUGUAAACUGCUUUUGGACGGAACGAAAAGCCCUGGGUUAAUACCCUGGAUUCAUGACGGUACCGUAAGAAUAAGCACCGGCUAACUACGUGCCAGCAGCCGCCGUAACAC
rnacentral:rRNA from 1 species